rnacentral:lncRNA from 1 species
UAUGAGGAAGUUUUUCUUCGUGCCUAAAUCUGCUCAACUGUGGAUGCAGUAAAUAGCUUGUGAAACCUAAAAGGACUAGGAUUCUUUUUUAUUUACAACGGAAAAGGAUAAAAAAUAAUUUUAAACUAUUCGAAAUAGAUCAUAUUUAUCCUUAAACUAUAUUUCGGUUCAAAACUACCCUUCCCAUCAAACUAUUGGGUCAAAAGUGCCCUUCUUAUUAACGGAAGUUGUUAAAUGUCAUGUGGAUGCCACAUUGCACGCCAAUAGGGUUCCACUGUCACAUAGACUAAACGGAA